AAUUUGCCUUUCCAACGCUUUCCUUUGAAGGCCUGGCUGGAGAAAUGGACAAAUGCAGUCUUGGGGACGUAUCUGAAACCAUCGUGCCUGUUUACAAUGUACCUGCUACAACAGCGACGUAUGAAGAGGUGAAGCGAGGUCACAGAAACCAUCGUGCCUGUUUACAAUGUACCUGCUACAACAGCGACGAAUGAAGAGGUGAAGCGAGGUCACAGGUCUUUUACAGCAAGGCCACUUCAACUAUCAUUAAAUAUGCCUAAGAAGACUGGAUUUUAUUCUCAGUAAUUAUUUGCUAAAAGCUUUUGUUUCCAAGACCUUAAAAGUAGGACAUUUAAUCAUUCCAGCAUGUAUA